CAGGAGACGUAUCUGUUGAUUUGCUUGAAAGUCAGUUGGGCCCAGUCUAUGAGGGAUUGCAGUAUGACUCCAUUUCCUUGGUGUAUUCGUAAAAUAGUUCACUCAGUGAAGACAAUGAAGAUUAUUGACAUUGCCACCUUGCUUUUUCUGAUGUCCUACACCAGAAAGUUGUGAUUUUUAAGUCUUAUGAUAUAAUCAGCGAAACUUCACCUCCUGAAUUUGGAUGGAUUCUGGGAUAUGACCAGUAUCAAGCUGUAGAUCUCUAAAAUUGAAGACCCCAGCCUGGAUUGUGGUGACCUCAUCAAAGAAAAUAAUGCCUGAGCAGACCAAUCAUCCUGUGCUCAAGCUGCAGCUCAGCCAAUCAGAUCAUGUGUCUCUGAGGGUGUUGGUGUGGCCAUUUUCCCUAAGCACAUAACCUUCUAAGAGAAGCAGACGAUAUUAAGAUGAGGUGGCAAGAAUACACAGAACUAUACCAAAAGGAUCUUCAUGACCCAGACAACCAUGAUAGUGUGAUCACUCACCUAGAGCCAGACAACUUGGAGUGUGAAGUCAAGUGGGUCUUAGGAAGCAUCACUAGGAACAAAGCUAGCUGAGGCUAUGGAAUUCCAGCUGAGCUAUUUCAAAUCCUAAAAGAUGAUGCUGUUAAAGUGCUGCACUCAAUAUGUCAGCAAAUUUGGAAAACUCAGGAGUGCCCACAGGACUGGAAAAGGUCAGUUUUCAUUCUAAUCUCAAAGAAGGGCAAUACCAAAGGAUGUUCAAACUACCACACAGUUGUACUCAUUUCACAUGCUACCAAAGUAAUGCUCAAAAUUCUCCAAGUUAGGCUUCAAAAGUACGUGAACUGAGUACUCCCAGUUGUUCAAGCUGGAUUUAGAAAAGGCAGAGGAACCAGAAAUCAAAUUGCCAACAUCUGCUGGAUCAUAGAAAAAGCAAGAGAGUUCCAGAAAACAUCAGUUUCUGCUUCAUUGACUAUGCUAGAGCCUUUGACUGUGUGGAUCACAACAAACUGGAAAAUUCUGAAAGAGAUGGAAGUACCAGGCCGCCUAAUCUGCCUCCUUAAAAACCUGUAUGUGGGUCAAGAAGCAGCAGUUAGAACUGGACAACAGACUGUUUCAAAGUUGGGAAAGGAGUACAUCAAGGAUAUAUACUGUCACCCUGAUAUUAAACUUAUAUGCAGAGUAUAGCCUGCAAAAUGCUAGGCUGCAUGAAGCACAAACUGGAAUCAAAAUUGCUGGGAGAAAUAUCAAUAACCUCAGAUAUGCGGAUGACACCACCCUUACCAAAGUAAAGAGGAGCUAAAGAGCUUCUUGAUGACUGAAAGAGGAGAUUGAAAAAGCUGCUUAAAACUCAACAUUCAAAAAACUAAGAUCAUGGCAACCAGUCCCAUCAUUUCAUGGCAAAUAGAUGGGGAAAACAAUGGAAAUAGUGACAGACUUUAUUUUCUUGGGCUCCAGAAUCAUUGCAGAUGGUGACUGUAACCAUGAAAUUAAAGACCCUUGUUCCUUGGAAGAAAAGCUGUGACAAUCUUAGACAGUAUUUUAAAGAGCAGAGGCAUUACUUUGCUGACAAAGAUCCAUAUAGUCAAAGCUAUGGUUUUUCCAGUAGUCAUGUAUGAUGUAAGAGUUGGACCAUAAAGAAGACUGAGUGCUGAAGAACUAAUGCUUUUUAACUGUGGUGUUACAGAUGACUGUUGAGUGUCCCUUGGACUGCAAGACCAAACCAGUCAAUCCUAAAGUAAAUCAACCCUGAAUAUUCAUUGGAAGGACUGAUAAGUUGAAGCUCCAAUACUUUGGCCACCUGAUGCAAAGAGCCAACUCAUUAGAAAAAACCCUGAUGCUGGGCAAGAUUGAAGGCAGGAGGAGAAGGGGAUAACAGAGGAUGAGAUGGUUGGAUGGCAUCCCCGACUCAGUGGACAUGAGUUUGAGCAAGCUCUGGGAGACAAUGAAGAACAGGGAAGCCUUGUGUGCUGCAGUCCAUGGGAUCACAAAGAGUCAGAUAUGACUGAGUGACUGAAUAACAACAACCAUCUAUAUUAAUGUUUGAAAUUUUUCAUAACUUGUAUUAAAUUGAUAACCAUCUACCUGUGAUCCUAUUUAGUCAACUGUUCAAUCUUUUUGACAAUUUUGAAACUUCUCAAAAUAAAAUUCUGAAUUUAGCCUUUUCAUCUGCAAACUAACUUUGAGGUUUCCCAGAAGCCCCCUGGAAAAUCUUGAAGGAUUUUUCUCUCACUUUGUAAAACAGAGGUGUUUUAGGUUUAUCUGAUAUGUCAAAUUACAUGAAGAGCAUUGUCAAAAAGGAAGUAAUGAUGAACUUUCUUUCAUUAUAUGUGUACAGAUAUAUAUUUUUAAUGUAGAUAUUUCAAAAUUAACAUGAAGUUCAUAGAAACAUGUUGAUAUUCUUGUUGUUCAGUUAGUAUAUUAACAUGUUGUAUGCUACAGAAAUAACUAAAUUUCCUACACAAAUUAACUUACAUCAGAUCUUUAGCCAUGGUCAUUUUUUUAUCUUUCAUCAUUUUCAGUUACUGCCAUAUUGUAAUUAUUCUCUGAAAGUAUUUAGAAUUAGCUGCAAAUAAGAAUGCUCCAUGAUGACAUGCCUUCAAUAACUUGAGGACCAUACCACUGAACUGUGUAAGAAUUUCCAGAACUAAUGAAGAAACUUAUGAAUUCAUAUAUUUCCCAGCUUGAGAUCAAGAAAAAUAAGAAUUAAUUACAUUUGACUAAAUGAACUGACAUGUAUUUUUGGAAUUUUUAGAAUGUGACUUCUUGUUUGAAAUAUUGCUGGUUAAAACAUUAAAUAUUUUAUUUUCCAGAUUUAAGGAAACAUGUUUUCCUCUUAAGCUAUCUAUCUGCUGUGGUGUCCUUAGUCACUCGGUUGUGUCUGACUCUUUGUGACCUCAUGAACUGCAGCUCAUCAGGCUCAUCUGUCCAUGGGGAUUCUCCAGGCAAGAAUACUGGAGUGGGUUGCCAUGCCCUGCUCUAGGAGAUCUUCCUGAUCCAGGGAUCCAACCCAGGUCUCCUGCAUUGCAGAUGGAUUCUUUACCAUCUGAGCCACCAGGGAAGCCCAAGCAUACUGAAGUGAGUAGCCUAUACCUUCUCUAGGGGAUCUUCUCAACCCAGGAAUCGAACUGGGAUCUCCUGAAUUGCAGGUGGAUUCUUUACCAACUGAGCUACCAGGGAAGCCCAAGCUAUCUAUAACUUAGAGUAAUUUGGUAAAUCAUAUCUUUGUAAACAAAAGUCAACCUUUUUAUCAUUUCCUCUUAACUGAUACCUCAAGAAUUUGGAAACUCUUAGUGAAUAUUCUUAUUUUAAUGGAAAUAUCGUUAUUUGCAUCAAUUCAGUUAGAGUCUGUUCUCCUUGUAACAGAACACAAUUGCAAACAUUAGUUUAUUACCAAUGCUUUGAAAGGAAUGUUAUAUUUUAGAAUGAUGUACAAUAAAUCAGAUGACCACUGACUUUAAGGCACCAGUGCUUAUAAAGCCAGGCUUCCCAGGUGGCUCAGUGGUAAAGAAUCCACCUGCCAGUGCAUGAGACAGAGGAGAACUGGGUUCAAUUUCUUGGUCAGGAAGAUCUGCUGGAGUAAGAAACAGCAACCAGCUCCAAUACCCUUGCCUGUAAAAUCCCAUGAAAAGAAGAGCCUAACAGGCUACAGUCCAUUGAGUUACAAAAGGUUGGACAUGAGUGACUGAGCAACUGAGCACACAGGCAUGCUUAUGAAGUCACCCCUUAGAAAAACUGUCUAUACCUGGACUGUAGGCUUUCUUGCCUUACAAAUGAGUAAGGAAUGUCACUUCUUGGCAGGUUUAGGAAGCUCGAGAUAUUUCAAAGACCUGAAGAAAGAGAAAUACACUUAAAUCUAUAGGUAUUUCAGGCUAAGUCUGGUGAUGAGUUUUUGCCUUGUUUUCUUAGUCUUAAGAGGCUUUUAAAAGCCCAACCUGAGAUUCCGUAUGUAAAGCUCCAGUAAAGCAAACUUAAAAAGGGCCCAUGUGGGCAGUCGCUAUGCCUCACUUAUGUAAAGAGUAAAACCAAGUCUAAUGAAACUAACUCAUUUUGUAAACAAAUUAGUCUUAUGAAUACUUUGAUUAUCUUUGAUAAAAAUGGAGGUGAUUGCAGAAGGAACUUUUUUUUUUUGGUGGCUCAGUGGUUUACUUUUUUCUAUUUAAAUUAUUUAUUUAUUUUACUUUACAACAUUGUAUUGGUUUUGCCAUACAUUGACAUGUACACCCAUGGCGGAACUUUUUUAAAACUGAAAACUAUGGUGUACCCAUGUGGAUUUCAUCUUGCACAUUUUGUCAGUCCUUACCAAAUCCUUCUUUUCUCCUGUAUCCUGCUACAACUGUCCAAAUAAAAGUUUCCACUUUUUCCCCCCUCCUGACUUAGAAUCAUUCAGGACUGAAACUGUCCUUUGCUUAAAGUCUUGCAAGGUGAAACUGAUGACUUGUCAUAAAGUUAAAUAAUUGCCACAUCAUUUUUAAAAUAGGCAGCCUUUGAGCCUACUGCUGUAUGGACAACUCAAAGUUUACCAGAACACCUGAUUUUUCCUCACAGUGUUUUUGCCUUCCACAGACUACUUCUUGACUAUAAAUACCCACUUUUCUAUCCUGUGUUUGGAGUUGAAACCAAUCUCUGUCCCCCAUUGUAAAAACCCAUUGUAGUUGUUGUUAUACCUAUCUCAACUGUCCUGAAUAAAGUCUGUCUUA